GCCGGGUGUGGUGGCGCAUGCCUGUAGUACCAGCUACUUGGGAGGCUGUGGUGGGAGGAUCACUUGAGCCCAGGAGGUCAAGGCUGCAGUGAGCCAAGAUUGUGCCACUGCACUCCAGCCUGGGCAACAGAGUGAGACCAUGUCUCAA
rnacentral:SRP_RNA from 1 species